CAACCCUCAAGCUUAGCUUGGUAUUGGGUGUCACCUAGUUAGGUGCUCCUUAAAAUCAGUGGCGGUGCCAUCUAGCUUCAAGCGUAGUAGAAUUUCUCGCUUUGGAAGUUUCAGAUGUGUGUUUGCCAUCCAACACCUAAUUCUUUUAAU
rnacentral:misc_RNA from 1 species